GACGAACGCUGGCGGCGUGCCUAACACAUGCAAGUCGAGCGAAGUAUAUCUGAGGGAAAUUUUCGGAUGGAACUUAGAUAUAUCUUAGCGGCGGACGGGUGAGUAACGCGUGAGCAACCUGCCUUUCACAAAGGGAUAGCCUCGGGAAACUGGGAUUAAUACCAUAUAAAACUUGUCUUUCGCAUGAAAGAAAAGUCAAAGCGAAUAAGCGGUGAAAGAUGGGCUCGCGUCCUAUUAGCUAGUUGGUGGGGUAACGGCUCACCAAGGCGACGAUAGGUAGCCGGUCUGAGAGGGUGAACGGCCACACUGGAACUGAGACACGGUCCAGACUCCUACGGGAGGCAGCAGUGGGGAAUUUUGGACAAUGGGCGCAAGCCUGAUCCAGCCAUGCCGCGUGCAGGAAGAAGGCCUCGGUGUAACUGCUUAGUCUAGGAAAAGGGUAGGACGAGGUUAGUACCUACGUCGCUUGAUGGUACUGGAAGAAUAAGACACGGCUAACUACGUAGCCAGC
rnacentral:rRNA from 1 species